rnacentral:rRNA from 1 species
CCUACGGGAGGCUGCAGUGGGGAAUAUUGGACAAUGGGGGGAACCCUGAUCCAGCCAUGCCGCGUGUGUGAAGAAGGCCCUCGGGUUGUAAAGCACUUUCAGUGAGGAAGAACGCCUGGUGGUUAAUACCCAUCAGGAAAGACAUCACUCACAGAAGAAGCACCGGCUAACUCCGUGCCAGCAGCCGCGGUAAUACGGAGGGUGCGAGCGUUAAUCGGAAUUACUGGGCGUAAAGCGCGCGUAGGUGGCUUGAUAAGCCGGUUGUGAAAGCCCCGGGCUCAACCUGGGAACGGCAUCCGGAACUGUCAAGCUAGAGUGCAGGAGAGGAAGGUAGAAUUCCCGAUGUAGCGGUGAAAUGCGUAGAGAUCGGGAGGAAUACCAGUGGCGAAGGCGGCCUUCUGGACUGACACUGACACUGAGGUGCGAAAGCGUGGGUAGCAAACAGGAUUAGAUACCCGGGUAGUC